rnacentral:lncRNA from 1 species
GAGGCGGGUGGAUCACUUGAGGUCAGGAGUUUGAGACCAUCCUGGCCAACAUGGUGAAACCCCGUCCCUGCUAAAAAAUACAAAAAUUAGCCAGGCGUGGUGGUACACAUCUGUAAUCCCAGCUACUCAGGAGGCUAAGGCAGGAGAAUCGCUUGAACCUGGGAGGCAGAGGUUGCAGUGAGCCGAGAUCGCACCACUGCACUCAAGCCUGGGCAACAGAGCAAGACUCCGUCUCAAAAUAAACAAAACAAAACAAAACAAAAAAACCCUCCCUCUUUGGAUGAAGGAAGAAGCUGAGAUUCAGGGCACCCAGCAACAAGGCGCUGCCCCAAGACACUGCCAGACUCCUGGAAGCUGAGCUGAGGGCCUCCACACAAGAUCAAGAGAAACACCAGUCUUGAGGCUGGGUUCAGUGGAAGGCCAAGGCAAGAGAAUCACUUGAGGCCAAGAGUUCAAGACCAGCCUGGGCAAUAUAACAUCUCUACAUACAUGAAAUAAAAAAAAUACGACGUGAGUGGAUCAUCUGGGGUCAGGAGUUCGAAACCAGCCUGGUCAAUGUGGUGAAACCCCGUCUCUACCAAAAAUACAAAAAUUAGCUGGGCAUGGUGGCACACACCAGUAAUCCCAGCUACUCAGGACGCUGAAGUGGGAGAAUUGCUUGAACCUGGGAAGUGGAGGUUGCAGUAAGCGGAGAUUGCGCCACUGCACUCCAGCCUGGGUGACAGAGUGAGACCCUGUCUCAAAAAAAAUACUUAAAUAAAUAAUUUAUGGCGUCAUAAAAAUCCUUGUAAUGAAAUCUUUUCCUACUUGCUGGAGUACUUCCAGGAAGUAAAUUCCUAGAAGUAGAAAUAAUGGAACAACAGAUAUGCGCAUUUUCAGGCUUUGGAUGCAGGCUGCCCAGUUCUUCCGAAAGGUCAUCCUCGUUUGCAGCCAGCAAUGGGAGUGGGGUCUCCCAUGUCGCUGUGCUCUCCUUGGCUAUAGGGAACCAGAUUUCUGAUAUCUUUGCUGAUUUGACGGCAAAGAGGAGGGUUUCAGUACUUCAAGUUCAGUUAUUACUGGUGGUAAACUUGGCUUUGAUCAAUUUCAG